AGCUCCAAUAGCGUAUAUUAAAGUUGCUGCAGUUAAAAAGCUCGUAGUUGGAUUUGUGGCGCGGCCGUCCGGCGGGGGUCCUUCUAUGGUCUCGUUUGUCCUGGUUUUCGGCCGCUCCUUUCUCGGGUAGAGCGUAAUGGCUGGCAUUAGGUUGUCGGCCGCUUCGCGCCCGUCGUUUACUGUGAAAAAAUUAGAGUGUUCAAAGCAGGCUAUUGCUUGAAUACAUGAGCAUGGAAUAAUGGAAUAGGACUUUGGUCCCAUUUUGUUGGUUUCUAGGACCGAAGUAAUGAUUAAGAGGGACAAUUGGGGGCAUCCGUAUUUCGUUGUCAGAGGUGAAAUUCUUGGAUUUACGAAAGACGAACAACUGCGAAAGCAUUUGCCAAGAGUGUUUUCAUUAAUC
rnacentral:rRNA from 1 species